rnacentral:rRNA from 1 species
UCCAGACUCCUACGGGAGGCAGCAGUGGGGAAUAUUGCACAAUGGGGGAAACCCUGAUGCAGCGACGCCGCGUGAGUGAGGAAGUAUUUCGGUAUGUAAAGCUCUAUCAGCGGGGAAGAAAAUGACGGUACCUGACUAAGAAGCCCCGGCUAACUACGUGCCAGCAGCCGCGGUAAUACGUAGGGGGCAAGCGUUAUCCGGAUUUACUGGGUGUAAAGGGAGCGUAGACGGCGAUGCAAGUCUGAAGUGAAAGGCGGGGGCCCAACCCCCGGACUGCUUUGGAAACUGUAUGGCUGGAGUGCAGGAGAGGUAAGUGGAAUUCCUAGUGUAGCGGUGAAAUGCGUAGAUAUUAGGAGGAACACCAGUGGCGAAGGCGGCUUACUGGACUGUAAAUGACGCUGAGGCUCGAAAGCGUGGGGAGCAAACAGGAUUAGAUACCCUUGUACGA